GAUCCUGGCUCAGAUUGAACGCUGGCGGCAGGCCUAACACAUGCAAGUCGAACGGUAACAGGAAGCAGCUUGCUGCUUUGCUGACGAGUGGCGGACGGGUGAGUAAUGUCUGGGAAACUGCCUGAUGGGAGGGGGAUAACUACUGGAAACGGUAGCUAAUACCGCAUAACGUCGCAAGACCAAAGAGGGGGACCUUCGGGCCUCUUGCCAUCGGAUGUGCCCAGAUGGGAUUAGCUUGUUGGG
rnacentral:rRNA from 1 species